UUAGCCUCGGCGGGGAGGGAUUGUAUCAUAAAAAGAAUUUGGGCUACAGAAGAGGAAGGAGCAGGAGUGGAGGGAGAGCUAAAAAAAUGCUUAUUUGCCUGAAAGCUUUGUGUAAGGAGGCCCUUCAAAAUUCUCAUACAGGGGGAGACCUAUGCUUAGAAGAGCUACUUCCAUAAGUUGUAUUAGUUCUGCUAAAUAUUUGUUAAAUUUCUUCGAAAUGCUAGUCCUUGCGUCUCCUUUUACGGCCCAGAGGCGCUCGCGCUCUCGUCCACCUGCUUUGCCGUGGGUCUGUGCUCUGGCCUGGCAGAGUCUCGUCGUUUUGGGCUGCCUCCAUCCUCCGCUGAGCCUUCUGUUUUCUCCGAGAAUCCAAACACUGCAUAUUCUCUUCCUAGCACACAUCGUUAACCAGCUGGUUGCGUUAUCUUGAACGAAUUCAGCUGAAGUUUUAUGCCAGGCUCCUCUGUGCGCUUUAAUAUCCAAUUAUGUCAUUGGAAUGUAACUUCUGAUGGAUUUGCCCAGAGAUUAAGUUUAUAUUCUUUCUGUUGCCGUCUUCUUGAGGUAUAAAAGGAACUUGAAAUGUCUGCGGCCUGAACACAUCAGCUCUGAAAUACCAGGAAUGCUGAGUUUGAUCUGGGCUUUGCUGGAGGCCUCACUGCUGUGUCUGAAAGCGUGUUGUUUGUAAAUCCUAACCCCCUAAGUGAAAGAGUAAUGAGAAUCGGAAUUCCACGGUAUUCUUUAUCCAAAUUUAAUUUUUCGCACGGAGGAAGAGAAUUUCCAGAUGCUGUUUAUCAGACCGAAGGAGCCCCUGGUCCUGAAGAGGGCUGUAAAUAAGCGAAAACCUUAUGGCGCUUGCAUGGAAUGUUUUGGGUUUGUUUUUUUUGUCUUCCCUAAUUACGUGCAAGUUUCAGAAAUAAAUACAGCACUUCAGGAGUGAAGUGGCGUUCCCACAGCCCUGCUGUGUUGGUGGCCGUGCGGAGAGGUGGGAUGUCACAGCCAUCGAAGGUGCGGAGUGCCUGAAAAACAUACCUUGUGGUUGAUGGUUUUCUCCCGAAGCUCCGUCGGAGGCCGCUGGGUUACUGUGACAGUACUUCAACGUGUUGCCGCUGGAAGCAUUUACAUCACUGUAAAAGACACCCGGAAAAGGCUUAAGCAUGUGACUGGGAGCCAGGAAAACUAGAUUCCAUUCAUGGCAUUGUACAGGCUUCCUGUAUGAAUUUGAACUAGCUGUUGAAUCCAACCUUCGGUAAGUUGGCUGGUCAGACGAGUGACUUCCUUUGCUGUCAGUGGCUAAAAAUCCCACAUACGGACAGUUUGCAUUGGUUUAAGAAAAAUAAAAUAAAGCUGGAGGAAGCGCCCUUGGGAAUGGGAGCAAGAAAGCUGCGUUGCUGAGGAGGUGAUUGUUGUUUGCCUGAGAAAACCUGGCAUAGGGCACAUACCAGAAUUAUAUAAACUCGUAGCCAGACUUAAAGACCCCACAAACCCCAGCUUCUGGAUAUCUAACUUGGGAUGAUUUUGGUUUAAUCUCUAAAGCUGGUGAUUUUCUGUGGCAAUUCUGCCAUGGCCUGGUGGGCCUUGAGAAGGAUUUGGCAAGUUUAACUUGGGAGUCUUCAGUGCCCCCUGCUACUUUCUCUAUGCUAAAAAAAAACCCCAAAAGACAUGUUUAAGCUCUUUUGAAUAAUGCAAAAAGAGGGGUGGUGUCUGAAGACGCAAACAACAGAAAACCUGAAAGGUGCUGGAAGGGACAGAAGUCUGUCCUAUAGAGAGAUGCUUCAUCCUUGAAGGCAUUAACCGUCUUCAGCUAAUGAUGGUUGGAAUAUAUUUGCUAAUGCAUUCCAGCAGUGUGACUCUCCAAGUAAUGUGGUUUUCCAAGAGUUUAUAUCCUCGAUAAAGCUGACGAUAGUGUUUGGGGUUUUUUUCUCCCGAAGACAUCACUCGAGUUGGAGCUACUUAACUCUGAAGCCUGAUGCUUUUCUUUCUUCAUUAAGAAUAGUUCGGGUGACGGCUGCAGAACUCCAAACGGGCAGGGCAGUCUCCAAACCCCGGAUGACUGAAGUCUGGUCGCUUUUAGAGCCUGGAACUCCAGGAACUGAACCACGUGAGCAGACCGUGGGCUGGCACAGUCUGAAACCGCCGCUGAAGUUUCAGCGACCUAGCGCUCCGGAAUUCCUUUAUGAGAUCUUGCCAGCCUCCGAGAUCUCGGUUUCCCUCGCUGGUGUGAGUCAGGAGCUCUGUGGUCUGUACCGAGUCCUCUGCUGCUCCCCUUGACAAAGCCACAGCAUCUUUCAACUUUUUACCUACUCGUCCAUUUUCCGUUUGACCACGUGCCGUGCAAUCCUGUUCAAAAACACAGCUCCAGCAGCGUUUUGAAUGGGGGGGUUCGGUGGAGGUGAAGGUUUGCGUGGAUUUUUGCAAUCUUCCUUUUACAGGCCACCUUGGCACGUGGAAUGGUGGUCCCUUUUCAUACCCUCCUUCUGCAGGUCAGGUUUCCCAGCGCUAUUGCUCCCACCAAUCUGUUUCAUUCGCUAGAUCAACGUUCUUAAUGAAAACAGCUUUUUUUUCCUGUAGUUCUUCUAUUUGGUGUACCUAGUCCCUCUCUUAUAACUAUUGCUUUUUCUUCUACUGUCUUUUUCUAAUUUUUCUCAGCAGCUGCUGCCUCAUUCCUGAUGCUGCAGUGGUGCAAGUAAUUAAUAAUACAAGUUGCUGGCCGCUGGCUCUUUUGCUGCAUGUAACUUGUUUACUGACUUGCCAUCUGUCUUGGGAAUUGGGAGUAUUCCUCUGGCUGUGGGACUGCUGGUGUGAUAGAUUGCCCCAGCCUGGCAUAUAGGAGGAAACAGUGUGCAGGCUGACUGCUUCGUUCUGCGCUGGAUUGAUAUAUAAAUCGAUUGAUAAAUUGAUACCUACCGAAGAAAUCUUUAAUAGAGAGUUUGUACGCGGUUCUUCAACGCGGGCUUUUCUUUUCCUGAAGAGGGAAAUGUCCCUGAGAGCUUGUGAGCAGCCUUCCCUUGGGAAGCUUUCUCAGCAUCAGCAGGGACUCCCCUCUUUUCCCAUCCAUUAGCUUGGCAGCACUGGGACCAAAGAAAGUCCCGUGAUCUGACCCAGCUGAGUGGUUGACACUGAUUUCUUGCCUUUUGGUUGAGGUACUUGAGAUCUCCAGGUCAUCCUCCUUCCUGGUACCUCAACAAAUCCAAGCCCGUGGGGCUCUAGCACCUGGUGCACUCAGCUUGAAGAGCUACUCUGCAAAGUAUCUUGUCGAAAAACCCUUCUGUAGUUCUAGCUGGAUGAUGACAAGUUAAAAAAAAAAAAAGUCAUGUAUCAUCUU